UGGGCUUAUUCAUGAAUAAUCAUUCAAAUCAAUUCAAGGUAGAUUCAUGAGUAAUCUACAUUCAUGCAUUAGGAAUAUGAAUGUCAUUUAAUGUACUUAAUGGAUUCAUUCCCUUUGUACUUGGCCUUUGUACUAUAUAAACAAGGCUGACUCUUUUUGUAAGGAAUAGAAUUCAGAAGUGUAUUCGACUUUUAACACCAGUGAGUGUUUUUUUUUUAAGUUCUUGCAUGAACUUUGGAACUUAUUAAGCUUUUCUGCUUGUGGCGUUCAAAACCCAAAAAUAUUUGUUUUUCCUUUCAACUUAUCAAGCUUCUUAGUUUGUGACGUUUUAAGGGAAUCAAAGUACUGUUCUAAUUACUUCAUCAAAUUUUCAUUAAUAAAGUGAUUAGAAUAGUUUUCCUAACUUCAAUCUUGAAUAAUCCGUCCUGUUUCAAUUUGUUGGAGGGGAUCAAUUUGCAUUCCAUAUGUAUAAUAGCUUUUUAGCUAUCGGGGUGUAUGAUUGCUAAGUUGAUGAUUUCCAUCAUUUGGUAUCAAAGCUCGGCUCAAGUUUGAGGUUUGCGUAUCCAUUUAUUUGCUAUCUUUUAUAUUUUCCUUUUCUCUUCUUCUUCUUUUUGGACAAUAUCUAUAAUUAUUGUUCUUCCUUCAUCUUCAUUGUUAUGUUUCUUGUGUUAUUACUAUUCUUCUUUGUAAUUCUGCACUUUAUUGUGUAAAAAAAAAGAUCAAAAAGUCAAAAAAAAAAGGAGAAAAUCAAAGGUAAAAAAAAGAGGGAAAAUCAAAGGUCAAAAAAAAAUGAGAGAUCAGAAUUAAAAAAAAUAAAUUUUGCGGAGUCAAGGAAUUCUUGCAAAUUACAGAAUUCUACCUUUGUUCAUUUGAAUUCCUGUUUCGGUUUGGAAAUCUUUCUUCAUUAUAAAAAUAUUUUCUUUGUUCAAUUGAUAUUUGAAUUCUAAUCUUUGCUUAUAAUUAAAGUGCAUUACACACACCUUUAAAUUGGCCUACCUUUUGUUUGCUUUUAAACCUAUCUAAUUUCACUAUUUUUGAAUUGUCAUAAUCUGAAUUAUUUGUUUAAGUACCUUAGUAAAUCUAAGAACUCAAAUAACAAAACAAGAGAGGUAAAAGGCAAGAGUGGUGAGAUCAGUAUCGAGAAAAGCCAAAAAUUGUGUGAAACACGAGCGGAGUGAAUCAAAUCUAGAGUGAAACACGUGAGGGAGGGUUGGUGAGGUUGUUCUAACUUUGUUUUUCAGGUUGUAUACAUGUCUAAAAAUAAAGAAGCGAGUUCUUCAUCAAAUGAUCUUUUAGUUUAAGCAAUGCAGCAACAAUUUGAACGUUCGUUCAAAGUGAUGGGAGAUGUAAGAGAUCAUUUAGAAAGGCAUGAUGAUGCAAUUAAUAGAUUGCAAGGUGAACCAUGGCGUGGGAGACAACCAACCUUUGUCAAUGAUGAAUAUGAUGGUGGCGACGACGUGGAUGAUGACCAAGUUACUCUAAUUGGUCAAGAUAUUAAUCCUAGGAGACAAACUAGGAGAGGACGUUUUGAUGGUGUGGACAGAAACAUAGGCAACAUCAAAAUGAAAAUUCCUUCUUUUCAAGGCAAAAAUAAUCUAGAUGCCUAUUUGGAGUGGGAACGAAAAGUGGAGAUUAUUUUUGAAUGUCACAACUACUCCGAAGAGAAAAAAGUAAAAUUAGUCGCUGUUGAAUUUUUUUAUUAUGCUAUUAUUUGGUGGGAUCAAUUGUGAAAAGACAGGCGUAGAAAUGGUGAAAGGCUCGUGGAGACUUGGUUGGAGAUGAAACAAAUCAUAAGGAGGAGAUUUGUCCCUAGCUAUUACUAUAGGGAUUUGCAUGAACGACUGCAAACCUUGACACAAGGUUUCAUGAGUGUUGAUGAGUAUCACAAGGAGACGGAGAUAGCCAUGAUAAGGGCUAAUGUGGAGGAAGACCGCGAGGCCACCAUGGCUCGAUUACUAAGUGGAUUAAACAAGAACAUUGCUGAUCUUGUAGAGUUGCAACAUUAUGUGGAGAGUGAGGACAUGGUGAAUGUGGCCAUGAAAAUUGAAAGGCAACUCAAAAGAAAAGGAACAAGGUAUGAUUCAAAACCUUAUUCAGGUUCUUCUUCUUCUUGGAAACCGAAUUGGAGUAAAAAGGAUGAUAAACCCAUUGUUAAGCCUAAAAUUGAUGAAACUAAAGGCAAAAAUAAAUCAAGCAGCAUGGGUAAAGGUGAGAAUCUACCUAAUCAAACUAGAGGUAUUAAGUGUUUUAAGUGUGCAUGGACAUGUGGCACGUGAAUGUCCUAAUAAGAGAGUUAUGAUCAUGAGGGAUGGAAUUGUGGAAUCUGAAAGUGAGAGAGAGGAUGAUGAAGACAUUCUAGAGGAUGCUAGUGAUGUAGAGUAUGCUAAAGGUGAAAAUCUAGUUGUUCAACGCACACUUAGUUUGCAAAAUAAAAAUGAUGAACAUGGUGAACAACGUGAAAAUCUAUUUCAUACUCAUUGUUUGAUUGCUAACAAGUUGUGUAAUGUGAUUGUUGAUCAUGGAAGUUGUACAAAUGUGGCAAGCACCUUGUUCAUGGAGAAACUGAAAUUCAAGCAUCUAAAACCUUACAAGUUACAAUGGUUGAAUGAUAGUGGUGUAGUAAAGGUAAAUCGGCAAGUGUUAGUUUCUUUUUCAAUUGGUAGAUAUAAGGAUGAAGUUUGGUGUGAUGUGGUACCUAUAUAAGCUAGUCAUAUGUUGUUGGGGAGACCUUGGCAAUAUGAUCGAAGGGUAAUACAUGAUGGGUUCAAGAAUCGUUAUUCUUUGAUCACGGAUGAACAGAAAUAUCAGCUUGGAACUUUGCCUCCAAAGACAAUUUUUGAAGACCAAAUGCACAUAAAACAACAAUAUGAGGAACUUGAGUCUUCAUUAACCAAAACUUUGGGGAGGAAACAAGAAAGAGAGAAAAAAGAAAAUGGUGAGUUGAGUGGUAAAAAUGAGAGUAUUGGGAAACACAAAGGGAGAGAAAACAAGGAAAGCUUGAGUGAAAGAAAAAUGUGUUUAUGCCAAAAUGAGUGAUGUGAAAAAAGCCUUAACCACGAGGCAACCCUUACUUGUACUUAUGUACAAGGAUGUUUUAAUUGCUUCUAACAAAAUUGACAAGAGUUUGUCUAGUGUUAUUGUUGAUCUUUUGCAGGAAAAUGAGGAUCUCUUUCUCAAAGAAGUUCCUAAUGGUUUGCCACCAAUUAGAGGAAUUGAGCAUCAAAUUGAUUUCAUUCUAGGUGCAAGCAUACCGAAUAAGCCAGCAUAUAGAUGCAACCCCGAAGAGACUAAGGAAAUCCAAAAGCAAGUGAGUGAGUCCAUGUGCAGUUCCUGUUCUGUUGGUGCCUAAAAAGGAAGGAUCUUGGAGAAUGUGUGUUGAUUGUCGAGCCAUCAACAAAAUCACGGUGAUGAAGGCGCUGAUUCGAGGACGAAUCCUUUCGAGGAAAGGGGCAAUGAUAUGAAUGAACAAGUUGAUUAUAAUUCUGCCAAAGAACCUUUAACUAUUCAUGAAGGACCAAUGACAAAAGCUAAAGCUAAAAGGAUGAAAGAAGCCUUAACUUGUUUAUUAGAAGACAUUUGGAAGGAGCAAGCUGGUUAAAACUUGGUCAAGGUUCUAUGGAUACAAGAAGAGCCUAAAAUAGUCAACCUGAUUCAAAUAAGUCCACAUCGUGAAAAGAAAAUCCAGCCUUGAGAGAAGGAUGAAUUUUUAGCCCAUUUUAAAAAAAUAAAGGUCAUUCAGUCAUAUUGGAUCAUAUUAGGAAUUGUGAGCUUAUUCAUGAAUAAUCAUUCAAAUCAAUUCAAGGUAGAUUCAUGAGUAAUCUAUAUUCAUGCAUUAGGAAUAUGAAUGUCAUUUAAUAUAUUUAAUGAAUUCAUUCCCUUUGUACUUGGUCUUUGUACUAUAUAAACUAUAAGGAAUAGAAAUCAGAAGUGUAUUCAACUUUCAACACCGAUGAGUGUUUUGUUUUUAAGUUCUUACAUGAACUUUGGAACUUAUCAAGCUUUUCUGCUUGUGGCGUUCAAAACCCAAAAAUCUUUAAUUUUCCUUUCAACUUAUCAAGCUUCUUAGUUUGUGACGUUUUAAAGGAAUCAAAGUGAUGUUCUAAUUACUUCAUCAAUUUUUUAUUGAUAAAGUGAUUAGAAUAGUUUCCCUAACUUCAAUCUUGAACGAUCCGUCUUGUUUCAAUUUGUUGGUGGGGGUCAAUUUGCAUUCCAUAUGUAUCAUAGCUUUUUAGCUAUCGGGAUGUAUGGUUGCUAAGUUGAUGAUUUCCAUCGACCGCUGUCAUCUCCUUCUCGUACACCGGAUAACGUCGCUUGGUCUCGUUUGAGCUUACGGCUCUCGUAGGCCACCAGGUGACCCUCCUACAUGAGUACUCCCCCAAUAGCGAAAUCUGAAGCAUCUAUAUGUACUUUGAAGGGCUCCCCAUAGUCCAGCAAUUUAAGCAUCGGUUCUUCCAACACAAUAGCCUUUAGAUCUUGGAAUGUAAUUUCACAUUUGUUAGACCAUCUCCAAGGCUGCUCCUUCUUUAGCAACUCCGUCAGUAGAGUUGCGCGCUUCGAAUACCCGGCCAUGAAGCGCCGAUAGUAGUUGACGAAACCAAGGAUCUCAGCUCUGACACCUUCUUUGAGUUCGUUAUUUCGCAACAGCUUGCACCUUUGAUUUAUCUAUCCGAAUGGAACCAUCACCGAUUAGAUACCCCAAUAAUAAGAUCUUCGUCUGAGUAAAGUAGCACUUCUUCCUUUUCACGAACAAAGUGUUCUCCCUAAGAAUCUUGAAAAUUGUCCAAAGGUGCUCGACAUGCUCCUCGAGCGUUUGGCUAUAGACGACGAUAUCGUCCAAGUAGACGACCACAAACUUAUCCAAAUACUCCUUGAAUAGUUGGUUCAUAAGAGUGCAGAAUGUGGCCGAAGUGUUGGUUAAGCCGAAAGGUAUCACCAAGAACACAAACGCUCUAUACCUGGUCACGCAAGUAGUCUUCGCUUCAUCGCCUUCAGCAAUACGCACCUACCAGUACCCCAACCGAAGCUCGAGUUUGGAGAAAUACUUUGCUUUGCCUAGUUGGUCGAACAAGUCCGCGAUGAGCGGGAUGAGAUACUUGUUCUUCACCGUCACUUUGUUGAGGGCUCGAUAGUCAACGUAUAGUCGGAGGCUCCCAUCUUGUUUCUUUUGGAAGAGAACUGGAGCUCCGAAUGGUGCUUUAGAACUACGGAUAACACCACCACUUAGCAGUUCAUCUAACUGCUUUCUGAGCUCUGCCAACUCUGGAGGGGACAUGCAAUAGGGUGGUCUUGCUGGAGGCUUCACUCCCGACUCCAGCUCGAUAUGAUGAUCCACGCAUUUACGUGGUGGCAGAGUUUUCAACAACUCGGGUGACAUAACAUCUAUGAACCCCUUCAGAACGUUCGCCACCACAGCAAGUUCAUGAAUGCCCUCCCCGUCGAGUGGCUCUAGCUUUACAACAACCACGAAGGUUAACUCUCCUUUUCGUACCCCUUUCUUCAAUUGUAACGUCGAUAUUUGUUAGAGGUUCUUAGUUCCACUCCGAGAGACGGGAACCAUAUAAGGGUCGUCACCUCCCAUCAAACAUAGGGAGUUCAGGAACGGCAUUGGCACCAACUUCGCCGCGUGCAUGAACUCCAUUCCGAGAAUCACUUGAAAGUCGUCCAGUGGCACCGCCAUCAUGUUUGUGCUCCCGCUCCAAGUCCCAAUCUUGAUGGGGACUCCCUUUGCCAGCCCGAAGAUCCGCUUGGCCUCCGAGUUCACCGCCUUCAUCCGACUUGGAUUCUUCUCCAAGAUCAGUCUAAGUCGCUUUGAUUCUCAAUCGGCAAUAAAGUUAUGGGUAGCGCCCGUGUCUACCAUUGCACAGGUUAUUUGGCCAUUAAGCUUGAUGUCCACGUACAUCAACUCAUUGCUCCUUGCUUUAUGUGACUUUGUCUUCGUGUCCUCCCCCACUUGACCCCGCAAAGCAUUCAACAAACGCAUUGCUCCCAUCUAGGGUCCUUGCGACUCCUCAUCGUCGUUGCUGAAUUCUGAACUACUCGAACUAAGAGCGAUGGCCUUGCCCUUGUCUGAUUUGGAGGAGUAGAUUGAAGCUGUUAAGGCAUUAAGUGCUUGUUUCGGUGGGCACUCCCUCACCACGUACGGUCCUCCACACAAGAAACAUCUGCCAGGUUUUGGGGCAUUGCCUUUUGAGCUUGACCCUUUAUAGGAACUCUUCUUCCUUUGCUCUCCCCCAGGCUCCUUCCCUCGAGAAUAUUUUGGAGGGCGAUUUCCUGAAGAUUAUUUCUUUUUCCCUAAGUCCUCUGAGGAAACAAAGUCGGUGAACCUUUUUACGGUCGUAAUUACCCCGAUCACAUCGGUGAUAUUCCUUCGAUGUAGUUCCUGUUGAGCCCAUGGCUUCAUACCAUCGAGGAAGCUAAACAGCUUAUCAUUCUCGGACAUGUCCUAAAUAUCCAACAUUAGUACAGAAAAUUGCUUCACGUAGUCUUGAAUGGAAGUACUUUGGCGGAGUUGUCUCAGCUUCCUCCUUGCGACGAAC
rnacentral:lncRNA from 1 species